rnacentral:rRNA from 1 species
UGUAUAAUGGGUCAGCGACUUAUAUUCUGUAGCAAGGUUAACCGUAUAGGGGAGCCGUAGGGAAACCGAGUCUUAACUGGGCGAAUGAGUUGCAGGGUAUAGACCCGAAACCCGGUGAUCUAUCCAUGGGCAGGUUGAAGGUUGGGUAACACUAACUGGAGGACCGAACCGACUAAUGUUGAAAAAUUAGCGGAUGACUUGUGGAUGGGGGUGAAAGGCCAAUCAAACCGGGAGAUAGCUGGUUCUCCCCGAAAGCU